GAUGAACGCUGGCGGCGUGCCUAAUACAUGCAAGUCGAGCGAACAGACGCGGAGCUUGCUCCUCUGACGUUAGCGGCGGACGGGUGAGUAACACGUGGAUAACCUACCUAUAAGACUGGGAUAACUUCGGGAAACCGGAGCUAAUACCGGAUAAUAUAUUGAACCGCAUGGUUCAAUAGUGAAAGACGGUUUUGCUGUCACUAAUAGAUGGAUCCGCGCCGCAUUAGCUAGUUGGUAAGGUAACGGCUUACCAAGGCAACGAUGCGUAGCCGACCUGAGAGGGUGAGCGGCCACACUGGAACUGAGACACGGUCCAGACUCCUACGGGAGGCAGCAGUAGGGAAUCUUCCGCAAUGGGCGAAAGCCUGACGGAGCAACGCCGCGUGAGUGAUGAAGGUCUUCGGAUCGUAAAACUCUGUUAUUAGGGAAGAACAAAUGUGUAAGUAACUAUGCACGUCUUGACGGUACCUAAACAGAAAGCCACGGCUAACUACGUG
rnacentral:rRNA from 1 species